rnacentral:rRNA from 1 species
GGCUCAGGAUGAACGCUAGCUACAGGCUUAACACAUGCAAGUCGAGGGGAAACGAUAUUGGAAACUUGCUUCCGAUAGGCGUCGACCGGCGCACGGGUGAGUAACGCGUAUCUAACCUGCCCAUCACUUGGGGAUAACCUUGCGAAAGUAAGACUAAUACCCAAUGAUAUCCGUCGAAGACAUCUGAAGUGGAUUAAAGAUUCAUCGGUGAUGGAUGGGGAUGCGUCUGAUUAGCUUGUUGGCGGGGUAACGGCCCACCAAGGCAACGAUCAGUAGGGGUUCUGAGAGGAAGGUCCCCCACAUUGGAACUGAGACACGGUCCAAACUCCUACGGGAGGCAGCAGUGAGGAAUAUUGGUCAAUGGGCGAGAGCCUGAACCAGCCAAGUAGCGUGCAGGAUGACGGCCCUAUGGGUUGUAAACUGCUUUUAUAAGGGAAUAAAGUGAGCCUCGUGAGGCUUUUUGCAUGUACCUUAUGAAUAAGGACCGGCUAAUUCCGUG